AUUGAACGCUGGCGGAAUGCUUUACACAUGCAAGUCGAACGGCAGCACGGGGGCAACCCUGGUGGCGAGUGGCGAACGGGUGAGUAAUACAUCGGAACGUGCCCAGUCGUGGGGGAUAACUACGCGAAAGCGUAGCUAAUACCGCAUACGAUCUACGGAUGAAAGCGGGGGAUCGCAAGACCUCGCGCGAUUGGAGCGGCCGAUGGCAGAUUAGGUAGUUGGUGGGGUAAAGGCUCACCAAGCCUGCGAUCUGUAGCUGGUCUGAGAGGACGACCAGCCACACUGGGACUGAGACACGGCCCAGACUCCUACGGGAGGCAGCAGUGGGGAAUUUUGGACAAUGGGCGCAAGCCUGAUCCAGCCAUUCCGCGUGCAGGAUGAAGGCCUUCGGGUUGUAAACUGCUUUUGUACGGAACGAAAAAGCCUCCUCUAAUACAGGGGGUCCAUGACGGUACCGUAAGAAUAAGCACCGGCUAACUACGUGCCAGCAGCCGCGGUAAUACGUAGGGUGCGAGCGUUAAUCGGAAUUACUGGGCGUAAAGCGUGCGCAGGCGGUGAUGUAAGACAGAUGUGAAAUCCCCGGGCUCAACCUGGGAACUGCAUUUGUGACUGCAUCGCUGGAGUGCGGCAGAGGGGGAUGGAAUUCCGCGUGUAGCAGUGAAAUGCGUAGAUAUGCGGAGGAACACCGAUGGCGAAGGCAAUCCCCUGGGCCUGCACUGACGCUCAUGCACGAAAGCGUGGGGAGCAAACAGGACUAGAUACCCUGGUAGUCCACGCCCUAAACGAUGUCAACUGGUUGUUGGGUCUUCACUGACUCAGUAACGAAGCUAACGCGUGAAGUUGACCGCCUGGGGAGUACGGCCGCAAGGUUG
rnacentral:rRNA from 1 species